GGGCACACGAGUCACUGCGGGGCUGCAGAGCUGUCCUGGCGCGACUUUAGGAAAUGCCCCAAUUUCCAGGCUGCUUCCUCUCUUAGGAAACACCCGCCGAAGGAUGGAGGAGGAGCAGGGACUCAGACACGAGAGCUGUGAUUCUUACCUUGAAUUCAUCCAGCAGGUCGGAGCUGAGCAGCUGGAUGCUGAGGUCGUCAUCUUUUGAUUGCUGUGGGAGGAUGCAAUGGAAAUGUGAGCCUUUUUCGGCAGUGCCACACACUCGCUUCGGCUGCUCGGGGUGUUGUCUGAGAGUGCUGCUGGAGACUGCAACGCUCUCCAGAGAGGUGUCAAAGCAAUGGCAGCCCCUGGGAGCCACCCCAGCCUGUCUGCCAGAGGGACAUUGUGUGUUGUGUAACACCAUCCCUGGAGACGUCUCACCAUCCUUGGAGGCCUUUAAGGAGUGACUGGACAUGGCACUCAGUGCUCUGAUCUGGUUGACAAGGGCAUGACGUUGGAUAUUUCACAUCUGGAGACCUGCUUUCUACCACCCUUGUCAGAAUUUGCGACGUGACUCACGUCGACCUCGGCAGAGAAAUCCACGGGGAUCUCAGCACUGGAGUGAGGAGCGUGUGCUCUGAGCGAGCAGGGAGGAUGGACGAGGUUGUCUCGGAGGGAGCAGGUGAUCCAACCUGGCUGUUUCCCCUGCCAAGUAUCUUAAUCACUUCAUCUUAGCUACUGAGACCCAAAGACACCAUGGUAUCAUAGAAUACUUUGAGUUGGAAGGGACCUUAAGGAUCAUUUGUUUCUAACUUCCCCCCUGCCAUGAGGGCUGAACUUGACUUAUGAAAGCAGUAGAGUUCAGACACUGAAAAGCUAUUCCCAAAAUCCUCUUGCUCCCAGGGGUAUGACCCCUGCUGCUCUCCAGGGGAGCUGAGGUGUCUGCUCCACUGCUGCUCAGCCCUGGUCUCCUUGAGCUUCCUCAGCACUUUGCCAGGGAUUUAUCUUUUCGUGGAAGUCUGAGGAAGAUUCACUUCAUUAACAGGAUCAGGCACUUGUGACUAUUUUGGUUGUUGCUUUCCCUGCUGCUUCUGAGGGCUGUAACCAGGAAGUGGAAGAUGAAGCUGAGUGGUGGAAAACCCCUCUCGCUGAAAACAGUGUUUAAAAAUAAGGAGAUUAAAAAAAAAAAAAAAGAAGAAAUUAAGAGAUCUGAAGGGAACUUACUCUGCUGGCUGUCCCUGCCUGUCAGGAAAGGAGAGAUGGGCACUUCAUCUCCCACUCCUCAGAAGUGGCCAGGAGAGUGUCCGCUGGAAAUACGAAGUCAAAUUAAGGCCUUGCAAUGGCCCUGAUUUAUAUUUAUGACCAAAAGGGGUUGUGCAGUGAGGAAAUGCAUUGCAAGGGACCAAGUCUUCAGUUUUCCACCGAGAUCAGAGGACACUGGUUAGCAGAAGGCCAGGCUGGUGGAGCCACGUGUGCCAGGGUCAGGCAGAGCUUUUCAGGGGAAUUGGUAAGAGAAUGAACCUCUGGAAAAAUUAACCUUGCCUCGUAGCCUGGUUUUCCAAGAAUUCAUGCCUAGAAGCAAACAGUGGCCAAUUUUCCCGGUUUUUCUCAUUUUUGCUGGUUGUUUUAUCAAAUAAUGUAGGAAUUAGUGGAGCCAAGUGGCUGUGAGGUGCCAGGUGUCUCUUAUUCCUGAUCUCUCUCUGCCCCAGAGCUGGAGCAGGGCUCCCUGGGUGCCUCUGUGUGUGUGUUCACGUGCAUCCAGCCCCAGUGAAACCAGCUUUGGCUCCUCCUGGUUGUGAAAUUGAGACGGGCACGAUUCAAACCCAGCCAAAAACCGAAACCCGGCUCCGGGUUGCGUCGUGAAUCCACGGCCAAUUUACUGAAACACGAGUUUCGGUUUUGGUGAAAGCUAAAUCUAUGACAGCUCUGCCUGGCUAGUGGAGUGAUUCAUUUGCUCCCCAGAGAAUUCAAAGCCAGAGCUGAUGGCAGCCAGCUCUCAGUUUCUCCUCUCUCAGGCUUCAUUUGUUGCCUGCACUGUCAGCACGUUUCACCCUCGGGGGCAAACCCGGCUGCUGUGUGGGACAGUUGGAUUCAUCACCUGCUCCAGCCUGAGGCACAGCCUGGUUUUCUGUCAAAAGGCACUCAGGAAUAUGGUUUGGGGGUGAUCAUGGUUAUGGUUGAUGGUUGGACUGGGUGAUCUUGAUGGUUUCUCCCAGCCUGGAUGAUCCUGUGAAAUGUCCUGCCUGACCUCGGCUGUCACACCAGUGUUUAGCUCUUCCAAAAACAAGGGUGGGACGAAUACAGGAGCUGGGUGAUGGGUAUGUGCAUCUCAGCAGGCCGUGGUCUGGCAUCUGCCACGAGCUGCCCAGAGCCCUGUGCUGGUCCCAGCAGUGUUGGUGCUGCUGCUGUCGUUGCUCCUGUGACAGCCACAGCAGCACCAAAUGUGAAGGAUGUUCCUCUUCCCUUCUGAGAAUAAUCUGGAAAUCUGGAAAGCCACGCCAUGCAAAGCUCUGGCUCUGGGGGGACAUUUCACCACAAAGCAGCCCCUGUGGCUCCUGCACAGCAGUCUUUGCUCUGCUGUCGUGUCAGCCCUGGUAUCUCUGGCACAUGUUGUUCUGUCCUUCGGGAUUGUUGUUCUUUGUGAAUCUCCACGUGCUGCAGGCAGCCCCUGAUAGCCAACACUGUUUUCUGUGACUGUGUUAUCUCCAAAGCAAAGAACUUCAGCUUUGGUUUUCUAAAUAUUGACAAGUCUUCUCCCAAGACAAGCCUGUUGGUGAGGAACAGCCCCCCAGAGCUGCCUGCACAAGCUCUUCUGCUGGCCCCUUUCCAAGGGGCAAACUUGCUCUAUCCACAGUGUCCACAGGAGCCUGGGAAUGCCCGGAACAAGUGGAGCAGCCUGAUGCCUGGUAAUGUGAGUUAUGAUUGCGGCGCUAAAUAUAAGAGAGGGGGGAAAAAAAAGUUUAAAAUUAGAAGCAGGCACAGCAAACAAAUGUAAAGUCUGCAGGGAAGAUGUUCAUGGGGGCUUCUCGUGGCUUCGAAAAGUGGAAGUUUGAUUUGCUCAGAGCACUUUUCAUACUCAGUGAUCACAGCUCUCUCCCUGGGAAAGACCUCUCAAGAAAGUUUCGUUUCUUGGUGAAAUGUUGGUCCUCCCAACACGGGCACUUCUCAGGCAAGUCUUGACUGCACUUGAGCAGUUUCUGAACAUGGGUAUGGUGUGUUCUAAGAGCAGAGCCAUUGCUAAUAUAUCAGAUGGCCACAUCAAAAAGCUUCUGAAACCUCCUGGAAACUGCAAAAGCCUCAUUCAUUAAGCCAAUCUCAUUGGCAGAUCUGAGUCUGAAAUACACAUUUGGAGGCUGGUGCAAAUCCUGCCAUGGGGUGUUGGGCUUCACAUUGUUCUCUCCUGGGUCUUUCUGUUCACUUUCAAAGGCAGAGAAGUUCUUUUCAGGCAACUGUGCCUCAAUUUUUGCUGAAAUAACCGAUUUGCUUCACAUGGUGGGGAAAAAAAGUUAAAAACCAACGUGAAAAUAUCACUCUCUGACUGGGAAAUCUUGCUGAAAUAAAUAGAUUCAAGCUGAGAGCAGGUUUAGAUGGGAUAUUAGGAAAAAAUGCUUCCCUGUGAGGGUGGGGAGGCCCUGGCACAG